rfam:Picoides pubescens contig88586, whole genome shotgun sequence.
CAUGCCCCAUCGUGUUGCAGACGUGGCUGCUGUGCCUUGGUUUGUGUCAUCAGGUGGCAGAGAGCAACAGGCUGUGUCAUUCUUUGCUGAUGCUCUGGAAAGUGUGAGCACUUGGGAAUGAUGAGCAGCCUGACAGA